AUUUUUGCGCUUGGGGCAAUGACGCAGCUCAUGAGGUUCUAACCGAGGCGCGUCUAUUGCUGGUUGAAAACUAUUUCCAAACCCCCUCGUAGGCCUGGGCUUGAUUUUGUCCUUCGAGAAUUUCAAACAAAAAAAAAC
rfam:Corchorus olitorius cultivar O-4 contig18457, whole genome shotgun sequence.